rnacentral:rRNA from 1 species
CAGCCGCCGCGGGAAUACGAAGGGUGCAAGCGUUAAUCGGAAUUACUGGGCGUAAAGCGUGCGUAGGCGGUGAGUUAAGUCUGCUGUGAAAUCCCCUGACUCAACCUGGGAACUGCAUUUGUGACUGGCAAGCUAGAGUGUGGCAGAGGAUGGUGGAAUUCCCGGUGUAGCGGUGAAAUGCGUAGAGAUCGGGAGGAACAUCAGUGGCGAAGGCGGCCAUCUGGGACAACACUGACGCUGAGGCACGAAAGCGUGGGGAGCAAACAGGAUUAGAUACCCCGGUAGUCCCUGUCUCUUAUAC